ACAGUGGACGCGAGCAUCUUUGUUGUAAGUGUUUAAGAGCGUACGGUGGAUGCCUUGGCACCAGGAGCCGAUGAAGGACGUAGGAGGCUGCGAUAAGCCUCGGGGAGCUGUCAACCGAGCUGAGAUCCGAGGAUGUCCGAAUGGGGAAACCCAGCCACAGUGAUGUGUGGUUACCCGCGCCUGAAUAUAUAGGGCGUGUGGAGGGAACGUGGGGAAGUGAAACAUCUCAGUACCCACAGGAAGAGAAAACAACAUGUGAUUCCGUGAGUAGUGGCGAGCGAAAGCGGAAGAGGCUAAACCAUGGGUGUGUGAUAGCCGGCGGGCGUUGCAUUCGUGGGGUUGUGGGAUCCGUCUUGUCAAUUCUGCCGGAUUGGCCGACAGUGAGAAAUCAUCGUGUUAGUCGAAGUGGUCUGGAACGGCCUGUCGUAGAGGGUGAGAGUCCCGUAGACGAAAACAUGGUGACUGUCGUGACGGACACCCGAGUAGCAGCGGGCCCGUGAAAUCUGCUGUGAAUCUGUCGGGACCACCCGAUAAGCCUGAAUACUCCCUGGUGACCGAUAGCGGACUAGUACCGUGAGGGAAAGGUGAAAAGUACCCCGGGAGGGGAGUGAAAUAGUACCUGAAACCGUGCGCUUACAAUCCGUCAGAGCCUGCGCCACUUCGGUGGGUGGGUGAUGGCGUGCCUUUUGAAGAAUGAGCCUGCGAGUUAGCGGCAUGUCGCGAGGUUAACCCGUGUGGGGUAGCCGUAGCGAAAGCGAGUCCGAAUAGGGCGUUUGUAGUGGCAUGUUCUAGACCCGAAGCGGAGUGAUCUACCCAUGGCCAGGGUGAAGCGACGGUAAGACGUCGUGGAGGCCCGAACCCACUUAGGUUGAAAACUGAGGGGAUGAGCUGUGGGUAGGGGUGAAAGGCCAAUCAAACUCCGUGAUAGCUGGUUCUCCCCGAAAUGCAUUUAGGUGCAGCGUCGCGUGUUUCACUCUGGAGGUAGAGCUACUGGAUGGCCGAUGGGCCCCACAAGGUUACUGACGUCAGCCAAACUCCGAAUGCCAGAGUGUGAGAGCGCGGCAGUGAGACUGCGGGGGAUAAGCUUCGUAGUCGAGAGGGAAACAGCCCAGAUCGCCGGCUAAGGCCCCUAAGCGUGUACUAAGUGGAAAAGGAUGUGGGGUCGCGAAGACAACCAGGAGGUUGGCUUAGAAGCAGCCACCCUUGAAAGAGUGCGUAAUAGCUCACUGGUCAAGUGAUCCUGCGCCGACAAUGUAGCGGGGCUCAAGUACACCGCCGAAGCCGCGGCAUUCACAUAACACCCAUGCGGGUCUACGGGCCUGUGUGCAGUGGUGUGGAUGGGUAGGGGAGCGUCGUGCAGCCAUGGAAGCGCCGGAGUGAUCCAGGUGUGGAGGCUGCACGAGUGAGAAUGCAGGCAUGAGUAGCGAAAGACGAGUGAGAAACUCGUCCGCCGAAUGACCAAGGGUUCCUGGGCCAGGUUAAUCCGCCCAGGGUGAGUCGGGACCUAAGGCGAGGCCGACAGGCGUAGUCGAUGGACAACGGGUUGAUAUUCCCGUACCCGUGUGAACGCGCCCCUGGUGAAUCAGUGAUGCUAAGCGCCCUGAAGCCGCCUUCGAACCUUCGGGUUCUCCGGUGUGUGGAUGCGCGUGAACCGAUCUGGUAGUAGCCAAGCGAUGGGGUGACGCAGGAAGGUAGCUGAGCCAGUCAGUGGUAAUACUGGUGUAAGCGUGUAGGGCGUGACCUAGGCAAAUCCGGGUCACAUACAGCCUGAGACGUGAUGCGUAGCCGAUUGAGGCGAAUUCAGUGAUCCUAUGCUGCCGAGAAAAGCCUCUAGCGAGCUUUCACACGGCCCGUACCCCAAACCGACACAGGUGGUCAGGUAGAGAAUACUAAGGCGAUCGAGAUAACUGUGGUUAAGGAACUCGGCAAAAUGCCCCCGUAACUUCGGGAGAAGGGGGGCCUCGUCUGGUGACGGAACUUGCUUCCUGAGCUGGGUGGGGCCGCAGAGACCAGAGAGAAGCGACUGUUUACUAAAAACACAGGUCCGUGCGAAGUCGUAAGACGAUGUAUACGGACUGACGCCUGCCCGGUGCUGGAAGGUUAAGAGGACCGGUUAGCCAGUAAUGGCGAAGCUGAGAAUUUAAGCCCCAGUAAACGGCGGUGGUAACUAUAACCAUCCUAAGGUAGCGAAAUUCCUUGUCGGGUAAGUUCCGACCUGCACGAAUGGCGUAACGACUUCUCUGCUGUCUCAACCACAGACUCGGCGAAAUUGCAUUACGAGUAAAGAUGCUCGUUACGCGCGGCAGGACGAAAAGACCCCGGGACCUUCACUAUAGCUUGGUAUUGGUGUUCGGUUCGGUUUGUGUAGGAUAGGUGGGAGACUGUGAAGCGGGCACGCCAGUGUUCGUGGAGUCGUUGUUGAAAUACCACUCUGAUCGUAUUGGACAUCUAACCUCGGACCAUGAUCUGGUUCAGGGACAGUGCCUGGUGGGUAGUUUAACUGGGGCGGUUGCCUCCCAAAAUGUAACGGAGGCGCCCAAAGGUUCCCUCAGCCUGGUUGGCAAUCAGGUGUCGAGUGCAAGUGCACAAGGGAGCUUGACUGUGAGACUGACAGGUCGAGCAGGGACGAAAGUCGGGACUAGUGAUCCGGCACCGGCAAGUGGAAGCGGUGUCGCUCAACGGAUAAAAGGUACCCCGGGGAUAACAGGCUGAUCUUCCCCAAGAGUCCAUAUCGACGGGAUGGUUUGGCACCUCGAUGUCGGCUCGUCGCAUCCUGGGGCUGGAGUAGGUCCCAAGGGUUGGGCUGUUCGCCCAUUAAAGCGGCACGCGAGCUGGGUUUAGAACGUCGUGAGACAGUUCGGUCUCUAUCCGCCGCGCGCGUUAGAAACUUGAGGAAGGCUGUCCCUAGUACGAGAGGACCGGGACGGACGAACCUCUGGUGUGCCAGUUGUUCCGCCAGGAGCACUGCUGGUUAGCUACGUUCGGAAGGGAUAACCGCUGAAAGCAUCUAAGCGGGAAGCCUGUUCCAAGAUGAGGUUUCUCACCCCCUCGAGGGGUAAGGCCCCGGCAGA
rnacentral:rRNA from 1 species